rnacentral:misc_RNA from 1 species
AUGAGAACUUGCCCUUCGGGGUAGAUCUCCCACCCUAUGUUUACAUUACCUUUGUUGCUUUGACGGGCCCGCCCUUCGGGGCCGCCGGCUUCGGCUGGUCAGCGCCCGUCAGAGGACCCAAAACUCUUGUUUAAUUGUCGUCUGAGUACUAUAUAAUAGUUA